rnacentral:rRNA from 1 species
AUAAACGCUGGCGGCGUGCCUAAUACAUGGAAGUCGAACGGAGGUUUGUAGCAAUACUUACCUUAGUGGCGAAUGGGUGAGUAACGCGUUGGUGACCUGCCCCAAAGAGAGGGACAACAGUUCGAAAGGACUGCUAAUACCUCAUGUGGUUAUGGUGUUUAGAAAGCUAUAACUAAAGGAGCAAUCCGCUUUGGGAGGGGCCUGCGUCCCAUCAGCUAGUUGGUAGGGUAAUGGCCUACCAAGGCUACGACGGGUAGGGGACCUGAGAGGGUGGCCCCCCACACUGGCACUGAAACACGGGCCAGACACCUACGGGUGGCAGCAGUAGGGAAUAUUGCACAAUGGGCGAAAGCCUGAUGCAGCAACGCCGCGUGCACGAUGAAGGUCUUCGGAUCGUAAAGUGCUUUUUGGGGAGACGAGGAAGGACGGUAUCCUCAGAAUAAGGAUCGGCUAACUACGU